rnacentral:rRNA from 1 species
AGCGAACGCUGGCGGCAGGCUUAACACAUGCAAGUCGAACGCACCUUCGGGUGAGUGGCAGACGGGUGAGUAACGCGUGGGAACAUGCCUCAAGGUACGGAAUAACUCGGGGAAACUCGGGCUAAUACCGUAUAGUCCCCUUACGGGUAAAGAUUUAUCGCCUUGAGAUUGGCCCGCGUCCGAUUAGCUUGUUGGUGGGGUAAUGGCCUACCAAGGCAUCGAUCGGUAGCUGGUCUGAGAGGACGAUCAGCCACAUUGGGACUGAGACACGGCCCAGACUCCUACGGGAGGGCAGCAGUGGGGAAUCUUGGGACGAUGGGGGAAACCCGUGAUCCAGCCAUGCCGCGUGAGUGAUGACGGCC